UUUGUAUAAUGGGUCAGCGACUUAUAUUCAGUGGCAAGGUUAACCAUCUAGGGGAGCCGUAGGGAAACCGAGUCUUAACUGGGCGUUCAGUCUCUGGAUAUAGACCCGAAACCAGGUGAUCUAGCCAUGGGCAGGUUGAAGGUUGAGUAACAUCAACUGGAGGACCGAACCGACUAAUGUUGAAAAAUUAGCGGAUGACUUGUGGCUAGGGGUGAAAGGCCAAUCAAACCUGGAGAUAGCUGGUUCUCCCCGAAAGCUAUUUAGGUAGCGCCUCGGACGAAUACUACUGGGGGUAGAGCACUGUUAAGGCUAGGGGGUCAUCCCGACUUACCAACCCUUUGCAAACUCCGAAUACCAGUAAGUACUAUCCGGGAGACACACGGCGGGUGCUAACGUCCGUCGUGGAGAGGGAAACAACCCAGACCGCCAGCUAAGGUCCCAAAUUACUACUAAGUGGGAAACGAUGUGGGAAGGCUCAGACAGCCAGGAUGUUGGCUUAGAAGCAGCCAUCAUUUAAAGAAAGCGUAAUAGCUCACUGGUCGAGUCGGCCUGCGCGGAAGAUGUAACGGGGCUAAGUAGUAAACCGAAGCUGCGGCAAUGCACUUUAGUGCAUUGGGUAGGGGAGCGUUCUGUAAGCGGUUGAAGGUGUGUGGUAACGCAUGCUGGACGUAUCAGAAGUGCGAAUGCUGACAUGAGUAACGAUAAAGGGGGUGAAAAACCUCCUCGCCGGAAGACCAAGGGUUCCUGUCCAACGUUAAUCGGGGCAGGGUAAGUCGACCCCUAAGGCGAGGCCGAAAGGCGUAGUCGAUGGGAAACGGGUUAAUAUUCCCGUACUUCUUACAAUUGCGAUGGGGGGACGGAGAAGGCUAGGUGGGCCUGGCGACGGUUGUCCAGGUUCAAGUGCGUAGGCUUAAGAGUUAGGUAAAUCCGGCUCUUUCUAAGGCUGAGACACGACGUCGAGCAUCUACGGAUGUGAAGUCAUUGAUGCCAUGCUUCCAGGAAAAGCCUCUAAGCUUCAGAUUGUAAGGAAUCGUACCCCAAACCGACACAGGUGGUCGGGUAGAGAAUACCAAGGCGCUUGAGAGAACUCGGGUGAAGGAACUAGGCAAAAUGGUACCGUAACUUCGGGAGAAGGUACGCUCUCGACGGUGAAGUCCCUCGCGGAUGGAGCUAUUGAGAGUCGCAGAUACCAGGUGGCUGCAACUGUUUAUUAAAAACACAGCACUGUGCAAAAUCGCAAGAUGACGUAUACGGUGUGACGCCUGCCCGGUGCCGGAAGGUUAAUUGAUGGGGUUAGACUUCGGUCGAAGCUCUUGAUCGAAGCCCCGGUAAACGGCGGCCGUAACUAUAACGGUCCUAAGGUAGCGAAAUUCCUUGUCGGGUAAGUUCCGACCUGCACGAAUGGCGUAAUGAUGGCCACGCUGUCUCCACCCGAGACUCAGUGAAAUUGAAAUCGCUGUGAAGAUGCAGUGUACCCGCGGCUAGACGGAAAGACCCCGUGAACCUUUACUACAGCUUGGCACUGAACAUUGACCCUACAUGUGUA
rnacentral:rRNA from 1 species